AUCAUCACGAAGGACGGUGAUCGAUCCGAUGAGAUUAGUGCACAGAUCACUUUUCUUGAUGGACGAGUCUUAAGUCCAUAGUGUGGGGGCACUAGGAUGAUUGUGCAAGUGCUUGUUAGAGAACAAGGGUACUGAGCGUGACCAAAGCAAGAAGUCACUUGGAUGUCUAUCCACUCGUCAGUGACUUACUUGAUGCUGCAGUUGUAUGACUAGUACUUAGACCUGCGAUGCCUCAGCUAAUCACAGUGAGGUUGCUGCAGUUUGACGAACACAUAAAUAUGGGCCUUAAGGAUCCUUGUGGUGCAGAUUGGCUGCAGUAAGUUUACUGUCGGAUUAAGGUUGCAUCUAGAUGGGAUUAUCGACCUUAAUAGAUUAGGAGUGAUCCUAUGUGAUUUAUUAGACUAAAUUCGAAAGACCUUGGCCAUGGCAGUUCUGGAAAAAGAGUUUUCCAAUCUCAAACUUGAGUCAAAAAAAUCUAACAUAAGAUAGACGAUGGGGUUUGACGAGUUAUCCAUAACCUUCGUCAUGUCAGGAUCCAUGAUAGAGGUACUGUAUCAUACGCUAACUACACCUAAAGGUUCAUCCCUUUCGUUCUGCUGGGUUGUCACUAUAUGCUGCUAGGUGUCACUAGUGGAUUGUGAGACUCGAAGGCAUUCACUUGGUGAUCAGUGAACCCUAAGAGUAGAGUUGAAAUCGUUUCAACCCAUUGAAAGAAGUUUCGAUGAUAUUAUAAUAGAGAUCAUAAUAUAUCUCACUACCAGUCAGAAUAGAACCUACGGAGUCACACACAUUAGAGGUUUUGAUCGUUCUGACGGUUGGAUUGCGAUUUAAAAAUCGCAAUUAAAAUUGAAUGUCAAUUGGAUUAACCCGCUAAGAGUUAGUGAGUUAAAGAAAGAAGAAGGAUUUGCAAUUAGAUUGCAAUUUAAUUGAUUUAAUUGGACCUAAUUAAAUUAGGCUUAACCAAGGUACGCGGUACCGAUUGUACCGACGUACCGGUAGGCAUCGGUACCGGUACGGUACCGAACCAAACCGAGCCGAACCGGUACGGUACCGAUGGGACUAAAAGCCAAAAAAAAUUUGGAGCCGGUACGGACUGAUCAGUACGGGCCGGUACCGGCCGGUACGCGCCGGUACCGGCCGGUACGGUUCGGUACCGAAAUAUGUAGUUGUACCGUACCGGUAGGGUCCGAUACCGGUAUGUACCGGCCGGUACGGAAGACCAUGGGCUUAACCUUAUUGGAUAAGGAUGGGAAGGCCUAAUUAAUUAAAACUCCUUAUUAGAUAAGAAACUUAAUUCAUAAAGUCCAAUUUGAGUCCUAGUUAGAUUAAGAUUCACAUAAAUCAAUUUAGAGGACACAUUGGGUUCUAAUUGGAUUAGAAUUCAAUUGAUCAGGUGGGACCAUGUAAAUCCUAAUUGGAUUAGGUGACCUACGCAUGGAAGGAAGGGAGAGAGCCCUUCCUUCAUGCGUGUCGAGCAAAUAAGGAAAGGAGGGGCGUCCGCCCCUCCUUCUCACACGCACAAAGAAAGGAGGGGCGUCCGCCCCUCCUUUCCUUUCAUGGUCCCCACGCCAUGUGGAGGGGCGGAUGCCCCUCCUUAUUCACGCGGAUUGCCACAUGGCACGAGCACGCCCCUUGGAUUCUCUCCAAACUCUUUUAAGUAAGGGUUGUGACAGAAUUAAGUAAGGGGUGUGGCUGAUUUCAGAGAGAUGAAUCAAGAAGUGAUUGAUUGUUGAAAUUAUUCCUUGUUUGUGUGGGCAUGAGAUGCCCAUUUAAAGGGACCAGGCGUGAGGCAUAGAAGUAUUGAAGCCUCCUUGCAGCCGCCACCCUCUUCCCUUCUCCCUCCUUGGCGUGAGCAAAGAAAGAAGAGGCGUCUUCUUCUUCUUCCUCCUCUUCGACCUUCGUCAUCCUCCUUCAUCCUCUCAAAGUAAUGGAGUUGAUUAAAAGGAGAGGAAUUCAGCCAUCAAAGGUGAUCUCUGCAAGAGAGCUAGCACCCCAGUGAGAUCUUGGAGCGAUCUGUACCUCAUGUGGAUAUAUGUAGAGGCCAGACACUUGUGCGGCUUCGAGCGAUCCAAAAAUCCUACGAUCAUCAGAUAGCGGUGAAGUUCUACCCGCUCAAAAGUAAAAAUUAAUCUUUAUAAAUUCUAUACAAUUAGGAAUUGUAGUAGAUCUGAAAUUAAUCUAGUCUUUUAAUUUUAAUCUUCCCUUUAGAUUUCAUAAAUCUGAGUUAGAAAACUCUAGAAAAUUUUUGAAAUCUACGUUUCCUAGAACGUUCAUGAGAUGAACGACCCCACGCAUGUCUUUCCGCUGUGAUUGUCGCAACAUGUGCGGGGGUAAUCCGACAGUGGUAUCAGAGCCGCGUUUAUAGGAUUUAGAUUAAAAUUGAUAGGCUUGAUUAGGAUUUAAUUUAGAUCUGAAAAAUUUAUAUGCUUGCUGAAAUUUCUGCAUGCUGAAAUUUCUGAUUUCCGCAUGCAGAUUUUUGUUUGAAAAAUCUAUAUCUUGCAUGAUUAAUUUUAAUUACAAUAAGAUUGCAAUAAUUAAAAUCAUAUCUUGCAUCAUCAGAAUUUCAGUUGAUAGCAUAUUUAAUUAAAAUUUUCAGAUCUAAAAUUACAUAAGAAGUAUUUGACAAGAUUCAAUCAAAGAUUCAUAAUCAUAAAAGAUAAAUUUCUAUUUAUGCCUAUGCUUAAAAGAAAAUUGAUAUAUGCAUGAUAUGCAUAAGAUAUGAUUAAAUCAUAGAAUAAUGUUUAUUAAAGGAUAAUUUUGUUUAGGAUUGUGCUUAAAAAGGCAAAUUAAUAUAUGCAUGAGAUGUAUAUAUAUGUUAAGCAAUUUUUACAUAAGAUGUGAAUAAAAACCCAGAUAGGUUAGGACAUUUACAUAAGAUGUAAACCUAAACUAAUAUGCCAUUUACAUAAGAUGUAAACACAUAUGCUAAGGGUUUCAUAUUCACAUAGGAUGUAAACCUAAACAAUAUGACAUUUACAUAAGAUGUAAAUGCAUAACAUAUGAAAGCAGUUUCAUAUUUACAUAAGAUGUAAACCCCAUUCGAUACCUAAAACCUCCUCAAUCAGUCAAGAGUGAACGGUACAUUGAGCUAGCCAUAUUUGAUUAAUUGAUCUAAUUGGUGUCUAGGAAAGCAUUAAAGGUGGUUACUUAAUUAGGAUCUUACUCUCUAAGUAAGGAGAGCCUCCCACCUGCUUACCUGGCUAAUUGAUCGAUUAUCUCCUAUGAAUAGCUCAAAGUUGGAAUCACUAAGACUAGAUUACCUAAUAUUAAGUCUAGAGGUCUUCCACCGUAGUAGAGUUGCUAAGGUCUUUCCGGCGUUAAUUUGUCUCGGCCGGACAUAGUGAGCAAAUUGCAUCGGAGGGCUGGACCUCUCUAUUAGCAUGAGAUGUUGUGGGGUAAAGAUGGGGUUGGGGACCAAUAACUGUUACUAUGAGGACCUAAUGAUGACUUUACUUCUGCAGAAAUUAUGGUGGGUCUGACUUAACCAAGGAACAUGACCAAUAACUGUUAGGUGAGGCCCUUAUGACUUGGAGACCAAGUUGGCUACAAUUUGCUUAUAAAGCAUUGUACAAAGAGUUGUACACUCAUCGUUUAUGUGUCACCAAUAACUGUUAAGUGAGGUCAAGGUCCGCCGUACCGGUACCGGUCGGCGUACCGGUGGCCGGCCGGACCGGUACGGUACCGGUCCGGUUCGGUACGUACCGGCCGGUACGCGGUGGUUUCAAAAACCACAGCGCCGCCGUACCGGCCGGUACGCGGUGGUUUCAAAAACCACAGCGCGCGGCGCUGUGGUUCUAUAAAAAAAAAAUCGUACCGGUGCGAACCGGCCGGUACGGGCCCGUACCAGCCGGUUCGGAUAAAAAAUCGGGAAAUACCGAUUUUUUAUCCGUUCUGGUACCGGUCUACGGCCGGACCGGUACGUACCGGCCCGUACCGGCCGGUACGGGCCGGUACGGCAUUCCAUGAGUGAGGUGGCAUGUAAAUUGGUGGGACCGUAGCACCCCACUUAAAACCUAGAGUCGCAGGUUUCCGUUUUUCUACUAGAGGAGUGUAGAAGAUUCGAAAAAAUAGUGGGAGAUGUUUGUUUUAAAAGUUCGUAAAACAAAUAAAAAUUCAAAUUCAAGUACAAAACUCUAACUAGAAUUUUUACUCUCUGCAGAUAAAAAUGUCAGCCUCUAAUUCUUUAACCUGCAUCCUUAAGAACAACCGAUUGACCGGACCCAAUUAUAAAGAUUGGCUCCGCAACUUGAAAAUUGUCUUAAGUUGUGAGAAAUUAGGGUAUGUACUAGACCAUGACGCCCCAGUGUUACCAAAUCGUCCGAAUGCUGAGCAGCAUGAGACGCAUGCUAGGUGGAUGGAUGAUGACAAUAAAGUUAGGUGCUAUAUUUGGCAUCCAUGUCCAAUGAACUACAAUGCCAGCAUGAGAACAUGAGGACUGUCAGAGACAUAUUGAAUCACUUGCAAGAGUUGUAUGGUAAACAGAGUCGCACAGCUCGAUUUGAAGUGUCCAAGAAGCUCUUCAAGGCCAAGAUGCGCGAAGGGCAGUCUGUCCAUGAUCAUGGUCUGACCAUGAUAAAGGACUUGGAGGAGCUUGAGAAGCUCGGCAUGAACAUGCACAAUGAAUUGCAAACUGAUUUGAUCCUGCAAUCUCUUCUUCAUAUGGGCAGUUUAUUGUAAACUACCACAUGAACAAGAUUGAAUGCACCAAACUUGAAUUGUUAAAUAUGUUGGUAACAACUGAGGGAACCUUGAAGAGUUCAAGGGGCACAGUUCUCGCUGUCGAGUUGACUUCUACUUCUAAGAGAAAGUCUACCUGGAAGAAGAAGUCUGCAAAGAAGCAAAAGACCGAGAAGAAGCCAAAGAAGGAUGUUCCAAAGAAAAAGGCCGCAGACAAGGGAAAGUGUUUCCAUUGCAACGAAGAUGGCCAUUGGAAGAGAAACUGUCCAAUCUACAUGGGGAGUAUAAAGAGCAAGAAGGAUGACAUGCCUUCUGAAGGUAUGUCAGAUAUGCUCAUUAUUGAAACUAAUCUAACGGUUGCUUCUACUUCCAAUUGGGUUAUAGAUUCUGGUUCUAGUGCUCACUUGUGCACUACUAUGCAGGGUCUAAAGGAAAGUAGAAGACUUACAAAAGGUGUGGUAACCCUCCGGGUUGGCAAUGGAGCAAGAAUUGCUGCUAUUGCUGUGGGCACCUACCCUUUACGAUUACCGUCUGGAUUUAGUUUGAUACUUAGGGAUUGUUAUUAUUAACCUGUUGCUAGCAGAAACUUAAUUUCUGUAUCUUGUCUAGCACAGAAAGAUUUUGAAUUCAAUUUCAAUAAAGACUAUUGUUCUGUUUAUUUGAGAAAUAAAAUAGUUGCACAUGGUUUUAUGAUUGACAGUCUCUAUCACUUACAUUUGAAUGUGUCUGUGAAUAUAUCUGAACAAACAGUGAGUACUAUAGAAUCUAAAAGAUCUAGAGAUGAGAUAAAUCAAAAGUAUUUGUGACACCUCAGACUUGGUCAUAUAGGAGAAGACAUAAUAAACAAAUUGGAGAAACAUGGACUUCUAGGCUCAUUGACUUCCGAGUCAUAUCCGAUUUGUGAAUCCUGCCUUCAAGAAAAAAUAGCCAAAUUACCCUUUGUAGGACACGGAGAGAGGUUCACUGAAAUACUUACCCUAGUACACACUGAUGUGUGCGGCCCAUUCGAUGUGCAAGCUAGGGGAGGUUAUUCUUACUUCAUAAUAUUUACCGAUGAUUGUUCUCGGUAUGGGUAUGUGUAUCUUAUGAGAUAUAAGUCUGAAGCUUUUGAAAAGCUCAAAGAGUUCAGAUAUGAAGUAGAAAAAUAAACAGAAAAACUCAUUAAGGUUCUUCAAUCAGAUCGAGAAGGCGAAUACCUUAGUAGAGAAUUCCAUGAUUAUCUUAAAGAAAAUGGUAUAGUUUCACAAUGGACCUCUUCUGGAACACCUCAGCUCAACGGAGUGUCAGAGAGGAGGAAUCGGACCCUAUUGGAUAUGGUCAGGUCCAUGAUGAACUUUACUGAUUUACCCUUAUUCCUUUGGGGAGAUGCCCUACUUUCAGCAAUUUAUAUAUUGAAUAGAGUUUUCUCUAAGUCUGUUCCUACCACACCGUAUGAGAUAUGGCAUGGUAAGAAACCAAGUCUUGGUCAUCUCAAGAUUUGGGGAUGUCCGGCCCACGUCAAGCGACAACAGGCGGACAAGUUAGAGGCUAGGACAGUUAGUGUUUGUCUUAUAGGAUAUCCUAAGAAAACAUUAGGAUACAAUUUUUACGUCCUAGAGGAUCACAAAGUGUUUGUGAGCCGACAUGCUGUUUUUCUGGAAAAACAGUUUAUCCUUGAUAAAGGCAGUGGGAGAAAAAUUGAGCUCGAGGAGAAAGUCUCUGAAGAGCAACAAGCCACUAUACUUAUAAAACCUAUUCACAUUGAGCUAAUACACGCAGAACCUCCUCCACCUCGUAGAUCUAGUAGGAUUUUCCAUCCUCCUGAAAGGUACUUAGGUAUGCUUACAGAGGAAGUAGAGGAAGUAUUCCUCGUGGAAAAUAGGGAUCAUUCUAAGGAUCCCAAUAGCUAUAACGAGGCGAUGUUAGACAUCGAUUCCGAGAAAUGGUUGGAAGCGAUGAAGCCAGAGAUGGACUCCAUGCAUACCAACCAAGUCUGGACCGUAGUAGAUCCACCAGAAGGUAUAGUACCUAUUGGAUGCAAAUGGAUCUACAAGAGAAAAAUAAGUUCAGAUGACCAGGUGGAGACCUAUAAGGCAAGGCUAGUGGCGAAAGGUUAUAGUCAGCGUGAAGGCAUUGACUAUCAGAAAAUCUUUUCACCUGUAGCCAUACUGAAGUCCAUUCGAACAUUGCUUGCCAUGGCAACAUAUCAUGAUUAUGAGAUAUGGCAGAUGGAUGUGAAAACUGCUUUUCUAAAUGGAUAUCUUGAAGAAGAUAUCUAUAUGAAGCAGCCUUUGGGUUUCACUUCCAGUGAUGGUGAUCACAAGAUCUGCAAACUACAAAGGUCCAUCUAUAGACUAAAGCAAGCAUCUCGAAGUUGGAACACUUGUUUCAACGAUGUAAUCAAAUCGUUUGAUUUCAUCAAAAACGAAAAGGAACCAUGUGUUUAUAAGAAGGUUAGUGGAAGGGCUAUUACAUUCCUCGUAUUGUACGUGGAUGAUAUCCUCCUAAUUGGGAAUGAUAUUCCCAUGCUUACUUCGGUCAAGGUAUGGUUGUCUAAGAAAUUCUCUAUGAAAGACCUUGGGAAAGCAUCCUACAUUUUGGGAAUUAAAGUCUAUAGAGAUAAAUCUAAAAGGAUACUUGGCCUGUCACAGAAAAUGUACAUAGAGGAAGUGCUGAAGAGGUUCAGCAUGGAAAACUCUAAAAGGGGAUUGUUACCCCUCAGGCAUGGGAUUCAUCUCUCCAAGAAGAUGUGCCCCAAUACAUCAGAAGAGAUUCAAUGCAUGAGCAAGAUUCCUUAUGUUUCAGCUAUAGGAAGCCUCAUGUAUGCCAUGCUAUGUACACCACCUGAUAUAGCACAUGCUGUGAGUGUCACAAGCAGAUAUCAGUCGAAUCUAGGUAAAGAGCAGUGGAUAGCUGUGAAGAACAUUCUUAAGUACUUAAAAAGAACUAAGGAUAUGUUCUUGGUCUUUGAAGGAGGAUCAGAAUUAAAGGUAGAAGGAUACACAGAUUCAGACUUUAUGACUGACAUUGAUGAUAGAAAGUCUACAUCAGGGUAUGUGUUCUUGUGCAAUGGUGGUUCGAUAAAUAGGAAGAGUUCCAAACAACCAAUCAUUGCAGAUUCUACCAUGUAAGCUGAGUAUAUUGCCGCCUCUAAAGCUGCAAAGGAAGCAUUCUGGUACAAAAAGUUUGUUGAAGAGUUAGGCGUGAUGUCAUCAGAUGCCAUCACACUCUACUGCGACAACAAUGGCACCAUAGCACUGGCUAAGGAGCCGAGGUCUCACCAGAAGUCCAAGCACAUAGAGCGACGAUAUCACCUGAUACGCAACUACCUCGAAAAGAAGUAUGUAAAGGUGCAGAGAGUAUACUCCACAGAUAACGUAGCAGACCCAUUCACUAAGCAGCUGAGUCAGCAAAAGACAGAAACACAUCUUGAGAAGAUGGAGCUUAGAUAUAUGUCUGAUUGGCUUUAGUGCAAGUGGGAGAAUGUUAGGAGUAUACCCUAGAAGCCAAUUUGGCAGACGCAUUGUAAUUGUUCUGGAGGCAUGAAAUUUAUAUUUAAUCUUUUAUCAAUUAAUAAAAUUAGGCAUUUUGUUCAUUCGUGUUAUUAUGUGUCCAUGAAUUAUCCUAGGAAUUAAUAAAUAAUAACACAUAUUCUCAANNNNNNNNNNNNNNNNNNNNNNNNNNNNNNNNNNNNNNCCUGAAUAGCUCCUGAUCGAUGGAUCAUCACGAAGGACGGUGAUCGAUCCGAUAAGAUUAGUGCACAAAUCACUUUCCUUGAUAGACGAGUCUUAAGUCCAUAGUGUGGGGGCACUAGGAUGAUUGUGCAAGUGCUUGUUAGAGAACAAAGGUACUGAGCGUGACCAAAACAAGAAGUCACUUGGAUGUCUAUCCACUCGUCAAUGACUUACUUGAUGCUGCAAUUGUAUGACUAGUACUUAGACCUGCGAUGCCUUAGCUAAUCACGGUGAGGUUGUUGUAGUUUGACAAGCACAUAAACAUGGGCCCUAAGGGUCCUUGUGGUGCAGAUUGGCUGCAGUAGGUUUACACGGAUUGCCACAUGGCACAAGCACGUCCCUUGGAUUCUCUCCAAACUCUUUUAAGUAAGGGUUGUGAUAGAAUUAAGGGGUGUGGCUGAUUUCAGAGAGAUGAAUCAAGGAGUGAUUGAUUGUUGAAAUUAUUCCUUGUUUGUGUGGGCAUGAGAUGCCCAUUAAAGGGACCAGGCGUGAGGCAUAGAAGUAUUGAAGCCUCCUUGCAGCUGCCACCCUCUUCCCUUCUCCCUCCUUGGCGUGAGCAAAGAAUAAAGAAGAGGCGUCUUCUUCUUCUUCCUCCUCUUCGACCUUCGUCAUCCUCCUUCUUCCUCGCAAAGUAAUCA
rnacentral:lncRNA from 1 species